AGGCCCAUACAGAAUUUGGCCCAGGGAUUGUUCUUGUAUUGAUUUCAACAUGACCAAAAAAUAGAGAUGGUGCGUGGGCUAUAGGGAGGUGUAGCAUCCAAGUUCAUGAAAGGAGGCCCAAUUUCCAUGGAGAUUUUUGUUUUGAUCCAUAUUUUUGCAUCAGAUUUUUAUCCAAACACAUUGAUUAUCCAGACUUAUGCCAAUUAAUCAUGUCACUAUCUAUUUAAUUCAAACUAAAAACCAGAUUAAUUCACAAUUAAUAAAAGAAUUCACAAAGGUAUUAGGGUUACAUUUUGAUAGCUUUCACGUUCUCCUUCUUCCCUCCUCUGUGUGAACUCGACGGCGGUGUGGUGAGUCUCGGCUCCUCCGAUUCGAUUCUCCGGCCACCACAAACUGCGUCGCUUUCCUUCCAACCUAAAUCAUUCUAACUUCGAUUUCACCUUUCCGUUUUGCUCUCAAUCAGCAUCUCUCCCGAUUUCAUCUCAAAAUCAUGUUCAUCUUUCAAUCCACCUCUCUAAUUUCGUGUUCUUCUCUUCCUCUUCGCGUGGUUGCGUUUUGAAUAUGUUAUUUGCAGGUCCUUUGAUGUGAUGAUGGAGAUUUCAUUUCAGAAAUUGAGCGCGAUAAGUAGAGAAAGAUGAAUGUGUAAUGGUUGAAGGUUGUCGUGAUUGAUUAUGGUUGAAUAUGUGAAGAUUGAAGUUAUUGGAUGAAGGUUGCGAUUGUGAAGAGAUUCAAGGGGUUUCUUGAUUUUGAGUUUUUUUGUUUCGAUAUCUGAAGAUUGAAGGGAAUCGUGAGGAUUUUUGCAGAAUGAAGGAGAGAUCGAUUCUUGGUGAUUGAAGAAGAUUGGAGAAGAUGAAGAUUGUUGUGAUGCUCUAUGAGGAACGGAUUGAAGAGAGAAGGAUGAUGAAGAUGUUGAAGUCGCUGAAGAUUCAAGAAACGGUUAUGGUGAUGAUUUUCUGAGUUAUUCGUUUAUGAAUGAUUUUUGUGAAUUGAUGAAGAGGAUCAAUGAAGAUUUUUCUGUUAUGGUUUUCUUUGAUGAAGAAGAAUUUGUUAAAAAUUUUGGUUCUGAAUUUCUGAGUUUGGAUCGAGAGAGAAUUGAAGAAUUGAUGAUGAGGUGAUGAAGUUCUCCUUCUGGUGAUUGAAUUGAGGUGUAUUGAAGAUGAAUGAAACGAGAGAGAGUUUUGUAGGCCCGAUCUUGUAUGGUUUACCUGCAAUUUAUUGGAUUGAUUUCUUUUGCUCAGUGCACGUCCAGUUUAUUUUGAAGCUGCUCGGUUCUGUUUUAACAUAUGAACCGGUUCGGUUCUCUUCCUAUGCAAGCUGCGCUUUAUUCAUUCAUGAGUGCAGCCCGGUUCUUUUGUGCAAAAAUUAUGGAAUUGACUUUUAGAGCAUCUCCAAUGGUGUAACCCAUAUUUGGGUUCUUUAUGGGUCCCACUAGCCACAUCAUCUUAAAAUAAUUUUUAUAAUUUUUAUUUUAAUUGUAUAAUUCUAAAAAGUUAUUAUUGGGCCCACAACUUUACCUCAUAAACUAAUUUGAUUGGGUACUACAAUUUUUUCAUAGUUGCAUUGCAAUGCAAUGGUACUAUGAUGUGGCAUGUCUAGGUGGAGAACUCAAAAGAAAAUACCACCAUUGAAGAUGCUCUUAGUACACAGGAUGGCAUUCAGUACACAGGAUGGCCUUGGUUUGAAAAUGGAAGCAUCACAUUGGAUUGGAAUACUUGGAUUGUAUUUUUGUGUAAUUGUUGUAAUGGACUUGGACUCUUUUGUGUAUUUUGGAAUGAAUAUUUAGUAGUGAGGCCUUAACUUUGGAUGAACAAUGAUGUAUAGAUUUUUAAAGAAUGAAUAGAUUGUUUUUGAAUCCACACGAUAAAUUCCAACUA